AUAAAAAAAUUCGCUUGCUCUCCCUCUCCCUCUCUCUCACCAUUGCCCACAAUGUAUUCUUUGUUUCUCUCUUUGCUCUCUGUCUAUUUCUCUUUCUCUUUGACAUUCACAUAAACACAUACCCUAGGCCACCAUUCAAAAUCACCACCACCAAAAAUGUCUCACACCAUGGUCGUGUCGCUCUGUUUCCCCACUGUGAGGUCGGCGGCGAACCGGCCAAAGCAGAGAGCAAACACGAAGAAGGCGCUAACACGAAACGAAACAGGAGCAGCAGCAGAGCAACAAUGGGUUUGGCGGAGAGAGGAAGGAUGUUCGGUUGUAGUGUGUGGAGCCGCCUACACUCUACCAUUACUAAUCCUCUCAAUCUCAGACCUCUUGCAUCAGAUAAACGCUCUCUCUCUCUCUCUCUCUCUCUCUCUCUCUCUCUCUCUAUAUAUAUAUAUAUAUAGUGUGUGUGUGUGUGUGCGCACGCUUGCGUGUUUGGUCUAUCCUUACCAAGUACAUAUAUAGUGUGUGCUUGAGUGUUUGGCCUCUCCUUACUAGGUAUUGAUGAACUCUAUAUCUAUAUAUAUAUAUACACACACACACGCAAUAGAGUGUUUGUAUGUAUCAAUGAUAGUAGUCAUAUGGUCUCUCCUUAUUGUUUGGCAUGCCUAUAAGGUGUUUGUUUUUUGGUGUAUGUUAAAUUGUUUGGAGGAAAGAAAGAAAGAAAACCGCAUUGAAUAUCUAAUUUACGAUCUUUGUCUCUUUUUUUUUUUCUUAAGUUUUAAUUGAUUUCUUUCUUUUGAGCUGAAGUUGUUGCUAUGGUUGUGUGUCUUUGUAUUUUUUGUCUUUUGAAAUUGUAGAGUUGAUUUGGAAUUCCCAAAAGUUGAGGUUCGAUUUCAAGACCUGUGUGUUGAUGCUUUUGUCCUUGUUGGAAGCAAAGCACUACCCAUUAUUCCCAAUUUCAUUUUUAACAUGACUGAGGUAAGAAUUUUUUUUUUCCCUUUCGUCCUUAACUAUUUUCCAGCUAUAGUCUCAUUCUGUAGUAUGAAAUUCUUAUUAUGUUUCCAUUCCUAAAAAAUUGGAAUAGAUCUUUUUGGGCUAGUUGAGGAUUUUUCCAGGAAGAAGAAAGAAUUUUUGUUCUGAUGUUGUUUUGGAGAGGUUAUGUUGGCCUAGAAAAAAGAAUUUUUGUCAAGGUGUUGUCCAGGCAGAAGAAAGAAGUCUAAUGUUGUCUGGGCUUUGUACUUUUAUGAAUUCUAAAGCCAAAAAGUUUCAAUUUUCUUAUGAACUGGGCUUUGUAAAAUAGAUAUUAGGAUUUUUUGGUAACACUUCUUUUCCAGUAGAUAGAUAUGGAAAAUGAAGAAAUUGUUAUUAUUUUCAUAAAUAUGUAAAAAUAUUUUAAUUUGUUCUUGUGCCCUUGUCAUAUCGUGUUCAUUUUUUUUUUUUUAAAUUGUCAUGUGGGCAUGUCCGUGUUGUGCCGCGUCCAUGCCUAAUUCCCAUAUCUGGCUUCUUUGUCUGUUAGUGCAGUUCAACAGACCAUGCAACCUGUAUUCUUUUAAAUUUUGAAAUUGGGACCUUUUAUGAGAGGCUUUAUUCUCAUGCAUUUUUUUAAACUCCGGAUCCAAUCCUCACUCAAACGCAUCCUAAUUUGUUGAAAUUUGAACAAGCCCGCUACAAAACCCAGUUAGAUCCUACUGUAGAAGAAGUGAAGAAACUUUGUACUACGUGUCGCAAAUAUGCCAAGUCUGAAAGAGUUCUGUUUCAUUACAAUGGACAUGUUGUGCCAAAGCCAACUGCUAAUGGUGAAAUUUGGCUAUUCAACAAGAGUUAUACACAAUAUAUCCCAUUACCGACCAGUGAUCUUGAUUCCUAGUUGAAGACACCGUUGAUAUAUGUUUUUGACUGCUCUGCUGCAGGAAUGAUUGUCAAUGCCUUCGUAGAGCUUCAGGAUUGGAGUGCUUCUACUUCUUCUGAAUCUUCCCUGAGGGAUUGCAUUCUGCUUGCAGCCUGUGAAGCACAUGAGACUCUUCCUCAGA